rnacentral:lncRNA from 1 species
GGGGACUGGUAUUAUCUGGUAUUAUAUGAUAAAUUUAUGUUUAAAUUUGUAAAAGCACAGAUCUGAAGAACACACAAAUGUGUUCAUAAUUCAGGUGGCAAGUAAACAUAAUCGCUAUUGAAUUUUACUCAAUACAUGAAGAUUUUCUUAAGUGUAAUUUCCACUGUGUGGGAAUAUAGUCAAACUGACGUAAAUGUAUUAGCCUUGUGCUUGAUUUAAUAAUGUGUACAUUUAUUAAAUUAUUUUGUAAAGUCUUUUGACUGUAGCAAGAGCAUAGAAGCAGAGUGUAUGCACUAUAUGCAUAGAUAUGUAAAACAAUUUAAUUUUUUUUUUUACAUUAAUGAAGUGUGGUUUUACACCACAUACUAUCCUUGGCACAAAAUAAAUACAGAGGAGUUAGCUACAGUGCCACGGAAACAGCAUUGGGUCCCUUUAACUCAAUUUUAAGAUCUCUUCUUUAUGAUUGAACCAAUCCAAAUUUAUGGUGGAUUUGCCCUCUUUUGUUUUCCAUUUUCUCAAUCACUUAGGACAUGGAUAGGCAACCUUUGGCACCCCAGAUGUGUGGACUACAUCCCCCAUAAUGCUCUUACAACCAUAAUGCUGGCAAAGCAUCAUGGGAGGUGUAGUCCAAAACAUCUGGAGUGCCGAAGGUUGCCUAUGCCUGACUUAGGAGAUCCACGUAUUUUGUUCAGGACAAGUGCCUUCCAUAGCUUAAAAAAACGAGGAGGAGAUACCUGGGACAUUGUGCCAGCAACAUGUAUGUAUUCUCAUAAACUGAAAAUGAUCAAUGCACCCUUACUUCAUGUGGCUGUUCAUUUAAACAAAGUUCUAGGCAAUUUUAACCUUUGUACCUCCCAUUCAAAGUACUACUAAUUCUAACCAUCGGCUCUUGAAACUCUAGAGCAUGGUUAGUUAAUAUGUGUACUUUACUAGCUGUUAUUGGACUUAAAGACCUGGGUAACACCAAAAAGAGCCUUAUAACCAGUAACAAUAUUUACUUAUUCUUUUAUGUAGACAACAGUUUACAAUGCCAGCAUGGGCUCUUAAUCAAGGAUUUAGUGGGCAUUAGCUCCCGGGACAGACAAUGACCCUGUCUGUACUUGGUCUUCUUGUUUUACACACUAUCUUUUCCAGAAAAAUGUAACUUCCCCUAUAGUUAACCUUUUCAAUAAUUUCUGCAGCAGGAACUUAAAAAAGUGACAACAUACCUCUUUUAACUUAGUGGGGGCAUCCUCAGGGCACUAUAGUGGUCCUUUAAGGGACCCUUAUCGCUACAAUAUUCUUACUAGGGCUGUCUGCUCCUGGCUCUUUUCCUACAUCUCUAACAUUUUUACAUGCUUACCAAUUCCUCCACAGUAUCCAGCCCUGGAACUGGAUAUACUAGAAGAAUUAUUGGUGGCAAUGGAUACAUGGAGAACAGAAUCUGCAACCCCCUAGCUAUGCGCAGAUCUCAGUGAAUGGCCCAUCAUAGGUUGCAGAUAUAUAAAGUCACAACAAAUCAAUCCAGCAGCCUUCUUUGGUCCAAGCCAUAUAUGACCUGUGUCAUGAAUUUCAUGUUCAAAAACAGGCCUUCCAUUUGAACAUACCCCCAGAUGAAUUUUGGCAGCCCUGCACUGCGCCUCCUUGUGCUUCAUACCAAACGGCUCCUCUUGCCUUUGCACCUUACGUGAUAUUUUCUUGCACCUUUCACUCUCUUUCAAUCACUCACUAAUUCCUUGACAACCGUUGGCAACUGCUUUUGGACGAUACACCUCGUCUAAAAUUUAUGGAAAAAUGUAAAGGUCCUAAACUCUGUACACUAUAUCUCUCCUUGUUUAUAUUUUAUAUAUUUUUUUGUAAAUGUAUUUUUCAUAUUUUAGCACUAUAGGUGAAAAAUCACAAUUAAAACAAUGCUUAUAGAAAUGUACAAACAAUGAUGCUUUUGUACCUUUAGCGAAAGAAAGAAAAAAUCUGAAAAAUAGUGUGUCCUCUUAAGUCAAGGCUUUUUAACUAGGAAUAUUUCAAUAUAAGAUAUUUCUGUAAUAAAAUAAGUCUUCCACGCGUAGAAAAUGACUCAUUCAUUUUAAUGCAGUUUCCUACCGAUCAGUCUCUUGAUGAGCUCAGCCUUUGCAAAACAAUGAUUUAAUGCACAAUACAUCAUCCUCAUGGUUUCUUAAAAGGGAGUCGCAGCAAUUCUGUACUGUAUAACAGUUAAUAAAUUUUCAAAUACAAACUGAAACUUUAAUGUAAUACUAAUGUACCAUUUAAAUAUAUUAUUUCAUUAAUGACAUAGUAACAUACUAUGCAUUUGUGUUCCCAAAAUAUAUCAACAUUUAAAUUAGCUGAACAAAGAAUAUUGUCGUUCUGCCAGCAAUACCUAUUGAAAGUACACCAGGUAAUUACAAAGUAAAUUUCAUCAGGUCAAUUUAACUACUAGGGAUUGUUCACAGAACUAAUAUCUAAAAAGGGAACUGGAAUCUUGAGGCCAAAAUAGACACAUUGGAAAAACUUGGUUGUCAAAAUCAUCAAUUCUAGAUUUAGUGAAUAUACCCCAAUUAGUUUUUUUUUCUUCUUUAGAAACCUCAAAUAUAUACUCAUAGCUCUUUUAAUUCAACAGAUUUAGAUCCAGUAGAGCUGUUUGUUGCUAGUUUUCCUUUUUGAACAGUGGACAGCACCUAAAUCAAAAUCUAAAUCAAAUCUAUUGGCUUGGUAACGAUUAGAAACACCCAAGAAGAUAAAACGUGUGUCUGCCAUAUUUAGGUCUGAAGUUUCCCCACUCCUUUUAUUGAUGAUUCAAGAUGUUGUAGAGUGGCUGUUAGAGAGUAUUUACAUAGUUACAUAGCUGAAAAGAGACUUGCGUCCAUCAAGUUUAGCCUUUCUCACAUAUGUUUUUGCUGUUGAUCCAAAAAAGACAAGGUGGGGGGAAGGGGAAAGAGGAUACAAAACGUAUAUAUUUUUUUCUGGAAAUCACCCAUUUGCUUUGCAUUGUGUUAUCGGAUUCUGGUCACCUUAAAAGUCAGAACUGCAUAUUGUACUGUCUUCUAAGGCUUUAAUUGGGUAACAGCAUGAGAGGGUGAAAUCGGACAUCUUUAAAAUUGUGAAUCUAUAUAUCUCUAUGAAAAGGGUAGAAGAUCUCAUUGGGUCAGGGAUUGAGUAUAUAUCCUUAAGUGGGCAAAAUAACAUUUCCAGGAGAGUCUAGCAUUUCACCAUCUUUAAAUGUCACCAGCUGCAACUAUUUUUUAAUUCAUGAGAAUAAUACUCAAGGGAAUGUUUGUAAAUUCUGUUAAAGGAAUAAAAAUAAUUCAGACUCUGUUCCCCUUUAUUGCAAAGCUCACUUAAAGCUUGUAAACGGUUUGUUAAUUGACAGUUAUUUGAGUAAUUCUCCUAAUAGUAUUAUGCACUGCAAUUAAUUUAGAGCAGUGCUCCUUAAAAACUCUCCUCACGGCACAACUAUCCAUCCAGGAUUUAGGGAUUACUCAGGUGUGUCUAAGGAGUUAAAAAAAAAAAAAACAGUCUAAGGUGGUUUUAUAUAAACACCUUAAACACACCCAGGUAAUCCCUAAAUCCUGGACGGUUAGUUGUUCCUUGAGGAGCACGGAUUUAGAGAAUGCUCGUUCUGACAUCCAAUUAAAAGCACUUUAAGGGAAACAGUUGCAGUAUAUAUAUUUAAACAGCGCUGUAAUAUUAGUGGCAUGUUUGUGUUUAUUGCACUUCAUAUCAUAAUUUUGCGCUAUUUUAUGUUGUCUAGGUAUGUCUGCUAGAACUAUAAAAACCAUGUGCAUAUCCUAUUUAGAACAUGUGCCUGUUUUCAUUUUGUAGUGUAAAUAUAUCACAGUAUUUGCUUAAUAUGUGUUCAUUGUAAUUUUAAACAUGAAUUGCAAUAAAAUUAUUUUACAA